AAUUAACUUUUAGUUAGAGUUUGAUCCUAGCUCAGGAUGAACGCUGGCGGCGUGGAUAAGGCAUGCAAGUCGAACGGACUUUCUAAAAUCCGAGAUGCGAUUAUAUCAAGUCAAAGGUCGUAGAAAGUUAGUGGCGAACGAGGUAGUAAUACAUAGGAACUUCCCCCGAAGUCGUGAAUAAUCUGUCGAAAGACAGACUAAUACACGAUGGUCUCGCAAGAGUAAAGUUUUAACGCUUCGGGAAAGGCCUGUGCGAUAUCAGCUAGUUGGUAGUGUAAUGGACUACCAAGGCUAUGACGUCUAGGGGAGCUGAGAGGCUGACCCCCACCGAUGG
rnacentral:rRNA from 1 species